AAAAAAUCAAAAUAUCUCUUCAUGUCCUAUAAGUCUAAUUUCUCCCUUUGUGAUUCUGGAACUGAAUUAAUACAAAGCAGAACUACCAUUUACACCACUAAAUCUACUUCAGCUAAAGAAUUUGCCAGCUUCUGUAUUGCUAUCCAAGAAUGACUGUCCCUUUUGUGAGGCAGUGGAUGAACAGGCUGCGAGUGAAUUAAUUGUGAGUCCAGUUAAAAGAGUACCUUACCCAAUUGGUAUCAGGAAGCUCUUGAGCUGUUGGGAAAAUCGCUAUUUUUUCCGCCUUUCG
rnacentral:lncRNA from 1 species